UACGUAGGUCGCAAGCGUUGUCCGGAUUUACUGGGCGUAAAGAGCGCGCAGGCGGCUGGUCAAGUCCGAUGUGAAAUCUCCCGGCUCAACUGGGAAACAGCAUCGGAAACUGAUCGGCUUGAAGAUGGGAGAGGGUAGUGGAAUUCCCGGUGUAGUGGUGAAAUGCGUAGAUAUCGGGAGGAACACCAGUGGCGAAGGCGACUACCUGGCCUGUUUCUUGACGCUGAGGCGCGAAAGCUAGGGGAGCAAACGGG
rnacentral:rRNA from 1 species